ensembl:misc_RNA 7SK 7SK RNA
AGAUGUGAGGCCCAUCUGGCUGUGGCCUCUGUCGCCCACUGAUAACCAGGGUUGAUUCAGCUGAUCUGGCUGACCAGGUGGGGGUUUCCUUCCUCUCUCACCAUUCCAUGUGUGUCCCUCCCAAAGUGCAAGCUCGAUGGAAGAGGAAGACCAUCUCUGUCAUCUCUGACAUAGGACCAAAAUAAGUCCUCUAGUAUAUCAUUUCUGCUCUGUCCAUUUCAUUGAAACUCUAGAUAUUUUCUUGAAUAAAUACUAAGGCAUUGUGUAUCAUUUUAGUUAGUCAAUUUAAAUAAAUGAUUAUUUUA